AUUCUUCAGAAUCAUGAACUCUACCAUUUCAUGAUCACUUUCAUCCAAGCUGCCUUCCACUUUCAAAUUCUCAACCAGUUCCUCCCUAUUUGUCAAAAUCAAAUCUACAACAGCCUCUUCCCUAGUAGCUUUCUCAACCACCUGAAA